AUUACGUUAGUCUGGUUGGCCAGAAGACGGAUCUAAAAAGGGUUGUUUGCUUGUGUACACACCGCGGAGCCUUACAUACCCUGCGGUUGGCUUUCCAUAACAUGCGCAUUCAAGGGUAUCUCAACUGUUUAGCUCAAAAACAAACAAACAAAAAAAAACCAAGUCUAUUUCAGCUUUUCUUCACCUUUGUUGUUUGAAGAUCUAUGGAUUUCAACUCCACGCAUCUUCAAGCGACCAAGGUUGAUAGACACCGAUCCAGAUACACAGGACACAUUGAAUAAAAAAACAGCUUACAGCUGUCUUCGUAUAUUUUUUUUCUUCCAUUCAAUCCUGUCUGAUUUACCUGUCUGACUAAAUCCCUGCAGUUUUCUUGUCAAGUGUAAUUCAACGGUGUCCGAUAUUUGCUUCUACAACAACUAAAGAGGACCCAGUGGCUCAACAGAAAUGAUACAGCCAUAUACGUUUUACUGGGAUUGAUAUUCUGCUUCCUCUAGUGGAUCGUACUCAAUAUGAGUAUUCCAAUAGCCUUUGUAAAAGUAAAAAAAAAAAUAUCCUUGAGCUGAUCUUCACUCCUGAUGACUUUGUUGAUGACUUCAUUGAAGUUUGAGACUUUUUUUAAUGUGUUAGUCAUCCCAAAAUUUGUUUUGCAAGUUGUGCAGCCUAUAUAUUUGAAUGACUCUGCUUGUCUGGCAACCCCAUAGGCAACCUCCCAUACGCUGACAUUCAACUCAAUAUGUGCAAAUCCUUAGCAUUGCUAAAAAUGUAGCAAUUUUUUUAAUAAACUUACUAAGGAGCAUAAAAUGUUUAGGAGAAUAAUAAUAGUACCAAUAGUAAUAAGCACGUUGGGCGCAAUUUCAAAACAAAUGGAUCACCACUUGAAUACCAUUGGCAUUGCCAAAAAACACCAUCAGUCAAUUGCAAAAGGCAGUUUUACCUAUAACAACUUACACCUUGAGGCAAUAUUUUUAACAUCAUCUCUGAUGGUUUCCACAGACUCCAGCUGGGACUAUUUGCCAAUUAUAGUAUUGCAAAUAUUCCAUGCUUCAGUAAAAAUAUUACUGUGAAUUAUUAUUUUCUAAGUUCAGAUUACAAGAUGAUUAAUAAUUACAGAACCGUUGGCAGAAAAUAUUUAUUAGGUGUUACAAUGGAUCUUGGUUUGUAGUAUAAAAUGUCUAAGAUCGUAAGAAAUAUUUCUUUGUAAGGAUAGUAUAACAAUUUUAUUCAAAUACAAAUCUGCAAAGUAGUGUUUUUCACCCAAAUACUCUUUGGCUACAUUUUUUAAUUCUGUAGCAUAUUAACAUAUAUAAGAUAUCUAAUAAUAGAUACCUGUGGUUGCUAUUUAUUUAGUCAUAAGCCUGAAUAGUAACCAAUUCUCAACAACUUUGGGCCUAAUAGUAAAAGUCAACACCAAUGUGAUGGUACAUAAUCAAUCAUAUUAGAGCUAAUAGAAAGAUGUUUUGAAGGUAACCUUUCUUCUUAAUCACAGCAUAGGAAUAAGUUAUAGAUCACUUCAUUAUAUCUAAACAUUAAAACACAAAUAGAAGGAAGAAAAAAGAGCUUUGGGACCUAUUAUAUCCAUACUGGAGUGGGAAAAUUCUUGAUGCAUAAAUUAAGGGAUAUAUGUGAUAUCACUCAUAGCAGGAAACCAUCAUGGAAAAAAUGCAGAAUAAUACUGGAAUACUGUACAUAACUUGCCUGUGACACGGUUGUUAUAAAUUACAUAAUUUGUAUAAUUGCCCUGAUGAUACCAUGACACACACUGUGUCAUCUUGCUUCUACCAGACAUUUAUUUCAUCAGUAAGAAUAAUUCUGGGGAAGAUGCUUGUUUAUUUAUCUGUUGGAUUUUGUCCUGCCAAAUCUGAGCAGACUCUUGGCAGCUUAUAGAAUAAUAAUUAAAACAUUCAUAGUAUACCAUAAAUAUCUGUAAUAUAAGUUAAAAUAAAAACAAUAAAACAUC